rnacentral:lncRNA from 1 species
GCUCCGUAAUUCUCGUAUCAAGACUUCAAAACGAGACCAGGCAUUAUCAGCGACGUCACAAUGUGAGAGGAGAAGUUAUCAGCGACGUCACAAUGCGAGAGGAGACGUUAUCAAGCUUGCUUUUGUCAAGCGUAAACCUGUCUUAGGGAGAAAGAAACGACCAGUAAUAGAACGAUAAAAAGAUAAUCGGGUUUUCUUCGUAUAGAUAUCGUAAAAUAUCAGCCACUCGACACACUGUGAAACUUUUUAGCUCGUUCGCUACGCUCACUCGCCAAAAAGGUUCACAUUGUGGCUCGCGGCUGAUAUUUUACGAUAUCAAUGUGUAGAAAACCCGAUAAUCUAUACUUAU